rnacentral:lncRNA from 1 species
GCAUUGCCCUUUCAUUUUGGCCACCUACACUGACGGAGCUACCAAGAAUUCUAUCUUUGACACCGUUCUCAAAUUGCUCUCUGUUUCUUUUUGUAAUUGUAAUGUCAAUUGCUCUCUGCUUCAAAGACUAGUCCCCAACAUUCUCCAAUUCGAUGACACCAUUACUCUUUCAAAAUUCUUUUUUGUCAAAGACGAAUCCAGCUAAUUCAUCAGCCAUGAAUUUGAAAUUUUUGAAGAGAACUAGAGGAAGAUUUUGGCAAAAAUUGAAAGAAAAGGAGCUUCGAUAUAAACAUUGACCCCGCUCGCUGCAAAAAGGUACGUUUUUCAUCAAUUUUUCUGGAAUAGCAGCUGAAAUUUAGUUCUCUGAUUUCCUCAUAAGUUGCAGAUGUAAAUAUGACUUAAAAUAAAUUAAUGAGAUUUUGCUUUGAUAUUGGCAACAGUAAAUUUGUAUUGUUGGCAAUACACUUUAUUUUUGCCUACAAAAUAGGUGGGUUGUGGCCUAAAACUUAGCUAAUUAUUUUCCAGUUUUCCGCCAAAAUCAAACGCGCCAAAAUUUUCUCUUGUUAAUCACUUUUUCCGGAUUUUUAGCCCACUAUUUUAGUUGCUUUGGGUAAGUUUUUUGUUGCUGCCAUAUUUUAUUUGAAAACAUAGUUGUUUUAAAAUAUAAUAAAUUAGCAAUAAUUUAUAUUUGGUAGAACCCUUAAUUGUCUCAACAAGUUCUGUUCACGCCUUAAUUUUCUCAACAUGUUUGAUUAGUGGCCUAAGAUUUAGCUUAGUAUUUUUCAACUUUCCGCCCAAAGAAAAGCGGCAAACCAGUUUCUUCCUUUUAAUUAUCUUUUCCUUAAUCCUUAGCCUAUUUCAGUUACCAUUCUAGCAAGGUUUUCUCCUUUAUUAUUCUACAUCUCUGAGCAAUUGGUUCUGGUCUAUUCUUUGCUUCGUUAUUUCUCGUCUACAAAGUCUGGUGAGUCUUGCUGAUUACUAUUUAUCUAUAGUGUGUUCCUUCGCUUGUAUCACUGUUCGUUCAAUUUAUAUGCUGUUAUUUUUACUGUAUUUUAGUAUACAGUCCUUCUCUGACCUUUUCCUUAUUUAUUUUUUUGCUAAAUUGACAGCAAAAAAUUGAGGGACAGUUAAUAUUUUAUAAUUUGUAGGUUAUUAUAUGAUGGAUAAAAGUUGGAUACUUCUUAGGAAUAGGGCAUUACCAGAAUACUUGAAUGGCGUGGAACAAUUUUUAAACUUUGCAUUUUCAAAUCCUAAUAUUGGUUUAAGAAUUCAAUGUUCGUGCACUAACUGUAACCAUGUGCGUAGGAAAACACGAGAAGAAGUGAAAAUAGAUUUACUUAGGUGGGGUAUAGAUCCAACAUAUAAUAGGUGGAUUCAUCAUGGUGAGUCAGAUUCAUCUUCAGAUGAUGAAAUAAAUUCUAGUGCAAAUUCAGAUUUAGGAAAUGAUGAUGAUGCCACUUUCGAGAUGUUGCAUGACAUGUAUCACGGUGUUCCUAUAGAUAAUAUAACUCAUGAUCCGUCUGAUGAGUCGGCUGAGUCUAGAUAUGAAGAACCUAAUGCAGAAGCUAAGAGUUUUUAUCGGUUGUUAAAGGAUGCAGAGCAGAAGUUACAUCCAGAUUGUGAAAAGUUCUCGAAGCUCUCUUUUGUAAUGCGUCUUUUUCAAAUGAAGUGCUUGCAUGGUUGGAGUAAUACUUCAUUAGACUCUUUGUUAAAACUAUUAAGUGAUGCCUUUCCCAAAGGACAUGUGCUCCCUAAUUCUAUUUAUGAAGUUCAAAAGAUUAUUAAAGAUUUGGGUCUGGAUUAUGUGAAAAUAGAUGCUUGUGUUAAUAAUUGCAUCUUAUAUAGAAAGGAAUAUGCGGAUCUUGAGCAAUGUCCUAAAUGUGGUGAGAAAAGAUGGAUAGUACGGAAAGGAGGAGAAGAUGACAAUGAGGUUGCUUCAAGUAAAUUGAAUAAGAGAAAGAAAGGAAUUCCUAGGAAAAUUCUUAGAUACUUUCCUUUGAUCCCAAGAUUACAACGAUUGUUUAUGACUAAACGAACCGCAGAAGAUAUGAGAUGGCAUAAAGAUAAGCGAGUUGAUGAUGGAGUAUUAAGGCAUCCAGCUGACUCACUGACAUGGAAAACUUUUGAUGAGAACCAUUUGGAUUUUGCAUCAGAUCCACGUAAUGUAAGACUUGGACUUGCUUCAGAUGGUUUUAAUCCUUUUGGUUCCAUGAGUAAUGCCUACAGUAUGUGGCCAGUAUUCUUGAUUCCGUAUAAUCUUCUCCCAUGGCUAUGCAUGAAACAGUCUAAUAUUUUAUUAUCCUUGCUUAUUCCUGGCCCAAAAAGCCCUGGUAUGGAUAUAGAUGUGUAUCUCCAACCUUUGGUUGAUGAUUUGAAAAAAUUAUGGGCGGAUGGAAUUGAGACUUAUGAUGCUUUUAAGCAACAAAAUUUUCAAUUACGUGCUUCAUUGUAAGUUCAUUUAUUCCGAGUGGUAUUUCUAAUUUCAUAUGCUUGUGUUUCUGUAUAUUGCUCUUCCUCCACCCUUCAUCCCUUUGCACUUACCAUUUUGUUGCUUUGGCAAUAAAUCUCAUGUAUCCUUUUGUUAUUCUCUGCCUGUUACUAUGAUAGUUCUGAUAUUUGGUCGCACUCUUUGUCCUUAAUGUGGUCUGUUCCAGGUGCAAGUAAACCACAUACAAAUUGAGAACAAAGUAUAAGGGUUAUGUGAUCAUCCUGGCUGGAACUGCAUUUUCUAAUAUAUUCCCGUUGAUUCUACUUCAGCAAAGUUUCAUUGCACAUUAGAUUGUAGACUGAGGUUAUUUUGUUCUUAGUGAUAAGCCAAAGUUAUCCAUCUGAAAUCUUGCUCUUUGUUUGCUCUUUGUACAAAAAUUGAACUAUCAUAUAUGCUGCUCAAUAUAACCGUUUAGUAAUCAUUUGAUUGCCUAGUUGGAACUUAUUUCUUGAACUUAGUUGUGGUUCAUCAGUUAAGUUGUUAUUAAUUAGACAUUGUUGUCGUACACCUCUAAUUUUGGCUUCUAAUUCUUGAAGUAUUUUUAUUUUUCCUAAGUCGGGGGUCUUCCGGAAAUAACCUCUCUGUUUUCUUGAAGGUAGAGGUAAGGUCUGCGUACAUCGUACCCUCCCCAGACUCCACUUAUCAUGAAAUUAUACUGGGUUUGUUAUUGUUGUUAAAUACAAUGUAAGUUUUAUUUAAUAACAAAUUGCUUUAUUUUGUUCUUUUAUCUGCUUCUUUUUUUAAAAUUCAAUUAUAGUUUAGUACUAAUACAAAAUAGUCAACUUAAUUAAUUUUUUUCUUUUUUGCAAAUUCCUUCCUUAAAAUUGAAAGCCUCAAAUUGCUUUAACAAAUCUUCUGCCACAAUCUUCUUUAACAAUCACUUUGAAUGGGCAAGAGAAACUAAGAGUUUGAGACUCUUUUUCAAUUCUUUUAGUAUAAACAUACUCUUAAUCUUAAUUUCUCUAGUAAGUCUUUGAUAAUUUUAAGUUUGAACGCCCUUUCCGAAGAACACUCUCUCUCCCCCGUUUAGUGCUUUCUUUUUCUUUAGAACUUCUUUUUGUUAAUACUUGGAUGAUAAGUCAUCAUAAUCAUUAAUUUUCAAAGAGUUGCACGCCAAAUUUUAUCGCUGGUGAUUAGCAUAUACAGUGGUGCCCCCGUCAUGCUCAAAUCCUGGGUCCGCCUAUGUAUAGGAGAAGAGGUUGGAUGCUAAAAAAAGGCCAUUUUGUUCAUCCUUAGCAGUGAAGUUGGGAGAAGGCAUCCACCUUAGCAUCCACACCUGGGCGCAGCAAGGAUGAGGGAACAAAGGGUGGACGCGAAGCAUACACCCCAGUAUCUUAUGCUGAAAAGUUCAAGCUGAGGCAGACUUGAAGCUUCCAACUCAACAUCAAUCCCUGAAGUUGAGUUGGAAAAGGAAAAGGAAAACUUUGGCCCACGACUUUUGUAUGCAAUAUAUAAGUCAAAAACGCCUCUUUUAGAUCAUCCAACACAUUGGGAAGCAAAGUCAUCAUAGAGUAUGGAAACCACAGAAUUCGUCUUGAGUUCUUACUUUUCCCUUCUUUUAUAGAUUUUUAUGUAUUCUUGGGAGUUAAUUGAGAUUACUACCAUGAUUAUGAGUGGCUAAACUCGUUUAUUCUGGGGUUAUGAUUUUACAUGAAUGUUGAUAUUCGAAUAUUGAUUUGACGAGUUAAUUUAUCAUAUUGGGUUGUUUAUUCAUAUCCUGAGUUCAAUUAUUUUACUGCUUAGCUAACAGUGAAAUACUAUAUAUGAAUCUUGAGUUGAACUUGAAAGAGGUAAUUCUUGAUUGCAAUAAGAUUGAAUAGAGCGCGAUCUUGAACCUAGUCAUUGGGGAAUUGAUUUGCGAAUACGGAUAGAAAUAUACCUAUUUUCCAUGCUUAGCCAAUUGUGCAAGAAAUCAUGAAUGCGUUCUUUUAUCUCUAAUCUCAUAGAAAUAUACGGUUUAGAAUAAAUUGAAUAGGCGAGUAGAAGAUGUCAAAUUUCUACAAGUAUUAUUGUCCUUGUAGGUUAAUAACCUAGCUAAAUUAAUAAGUCGAUUUGAUUGAAGAAUUGAACAUGAUUGUUACUUAACCAUGACCCUGGAAUCUUAUUUUUCAUUGAAUUAAAAUCUUCGUGCCAAGUGUGGUAAUUAAUUAGUUUUCCUUUUAAUCGCAAUUGUAGUUAGUACAAUUAAUCAAACAAAAAUCCUUUGAAAUUGUUCUUGACUUAAUAAAUUAGAAUUCGCUUGAUUUAGUUGAUAAUUGAUUACAAAUACUCGUGGGAACGAUACUCUACUCACUCUUUAUUACUUGAUUGACUGCGUAUACUUGCGUGUGUGAUUUUAGGGCAACAAGUUUCUAGUGUCGUUUUGGGGGACUUAGAAAUUAAUUGUUUACUAGAUUAUGCUUUUAUUACUCAUCGAGUUAAGUUUUUAAUAUUCUUUUUGGCUUGGUUUGUUAUCUCAGGUACUUUGCUUGAAUGUGACGGGUUAGAAGCCAGGAUAGAC